GCGGGAGUAGUUUAGCGGUAGAACAUCGGCUUCCCAAGCCGAGGGUCGCGGGUUCGAGUCCCGUCUCCCGCUCCA
rnacentral:tRNA from 1 species